rnacentral:rRNA from 1 species
UACGCCCUACGGGGCGCAGCAGUGGGGGAUAUUGCACAAUGGGGGAAACCCUGAUGCAGCGACGCCGCGUGGGUGAAGAAGCGCCUCGGCGCGUAAAGCCCUGUCAGCAGGGAAGAAAAUGACGGUACCUGAAGAAGAAGCCCCGGCUAACUACGUGCCAGCAGCCGCGGUAAUACGUAGGGGGCAAGCGUUAUCCGGAUUUACUGGGUGUAAAGGGGGCGCAGACGGCGAUGCAAGCCAGGAGUGAAAGCCCGGGGCCCAACCCCGGGACUGCUCUUGGAACUGCGUGGAUAGAGUGCCGGAGG